rnacentral:tRNA from 1 species
GCCCGGCUAGCUCAGUUGGUAGAGCAUUCGACUCUUACGAGUUGUCUAUCGAAUUGUCGUGGGUUCGAGCCCCACGUUGGGCG